CUCGUGCCGUGAGGUGUCGGCUUAAGUGCCAUAACGAGCGCAACCCUCAUCAUUAGUUACCAUCAGGUAAGGCUGGGGACUCUAAUGAGACUGCCAUCGUAAGAUGUGAGGAAGGUGGGGAUGACGUCAAAUCAGCACGGCCCUUACGUCCGGGGCGACACACGUGUUACAAUGGGUGGUACAAAGGGCAGCUACCUGGCGACAGGAUGCUAAUCUCGAAAACCGCUCUCAGUUCGGAUCGGAGUCUGCAACUCGACUCCGUGAAGCUGGAUUCGCUAGUAAUCGCGCAUCAGCCACGGCGCGGUGAAUACGUUCCCGGGCCUU
rnacentral:rRNA from 1 species